rfam:Myotis brandtii contig186209, whole genome shotgun sequence.
GAGUUCCUGACCGCCUGGAUCGGUGUCGGGUGCGGUCGGACGGUCGGGGGCCGGACCAGCUUCAGCGGGAUUUCCAGCGUCCACCUCUGUGGCCGCUGGGAGGGCGAGAUCUCGGACCUGCGGACGCACGGCCCCCGCCCUUCCCCGCGUUCUCGGUGGAGGGGCGGGGACUGCGCCCUCCAUCUUGCCCUGGGUCCUCCAUUUUUGGGCAGGGCCAUGUGCUCGGCAGAGGCUUCUUCCCGGAAGAAGCCUCUGCUAACCACACCCAGGAUUUCUCUGGACUAACCAAUGAUAAUCAAGGGAAGUGCACACCAUCACUAUGACCACAUCCUGUGUAAUGAGACACCGACUCGCGCCUGGCCAAUUGGCGGGGCCCACAGUCCCCUCUCCCGCCCUUACUCCACCCCUCUAUAAAACUCCUGGUCCCAUCAGGCCUCUCCCUCUCUGCCACUUGCUGCUGCGUCAGUAAGGAGGGUAGGGGAGCCAAGCCCGGGUUUGAAAUAAAGGACUCUUUGCUUUUGCAUCGGACUGGCUGGCUCCCUGGUGGGCUCUUGGGAAUCUUGAAAUCUGGGCAUAACAGUUAGGUCUACAGGGCAUCUUUCUCUGUCCUGUCUGCCUCCACCACUGCCCUGAUCAGAACUUCAAGAGAACUUCAAUUAUGUCACAUGACUGAUAUUGUUAAGCAGAUUCCCACCAUGAGGAGAAAAAGGAAAAGGCAAGAUAAACCCCAGUGUAAGUAGCACCAAGAGCUUCUGACCCAGUGCUGUGAGACGGAUCCAGAGCAACUGUGUCCCCAGUGCAGGGUCUUAUCAGACCAUCAGGAUCAGCCCCUGAUACUCAUUAAGGAAGCUGCAGCUAGUCACAGGAAGAAGCUCAAAGGGUACAUUGUGCCCCUGAUGCUAUACCUUAAAGAUGCUGAAACAGUAUAUGAAAACCAAGUUGCAGAAACUUUGAAAGUGAAGACAAAGAUGGAAAACUGGUGGGAGGGAUUGGAUUAUGAAUGUAAAGAACUUAAGUGUUCCUUGGAAAUAGAGAGACAUUAAAUUAAUGGCAAUCUACUUUAUAGAAGAGAAGGAUGUUGAAAAAAACUAACUGAAAAUAAAAGGCAAAUUUUAUACUAUAUAUUCAGGCUAAACAAUCUGUUAAGUGAAAUAACAAAGAAGUAUUUGCAGACAGAUGUAGAUUUACUCACAGGUAUUGAAUGUGGAGAGCGGCUACAGCGUUUGGACAGGUUCAAACCUCAGACUGAUGAGAGGGCACAGUCCUCUUGUGGCAAAGCCACAUAAAUACAAGUCCCAGGGUGGAGGGCAAAGCCCUCCCAGCACAAUUAUAGCCAAAGGCUAUGGUUGUAUGUAAGCUUGACCUUAUAGUCUGACCUUGUAGUCCUAGGCAGCUGAGGGAUGUGGGCUGUGGGAGGUGCAGCAAGUGCUUCCAAAACAAAGCUUGAUAGAGUUCAGAGAAUUACAACAGGAAAGAAGUAGAUUUGAAACUCCCAAGAACAUUGCACCUACUGAUGAUGUGUUGUUGCCAUGGUAAUCCUGCUCAGUACGAGAGGAAGGGCAGGUUCAGACAUUUGGUGUAUGUGCAUGGCUGGGGAGCCAAUGGGGCAAAGCUACCAUCUGUGGAUUAUGACUAAACGCCUCUAAGUUAGAAUCCCGCCCCAGCGUAACUAUACGGCAGUGCUGAGGGCCUCCAAUGGCCUCGGAUAGCCGGUCCCCCGCUGUGCCUCGGGACCGGGGUCUGGUGCGGAGAGGCCUUCAUCCUGGGAAACGGGUUGCAGCCAGAAAGGGGACCGCCCCCUCACCCUUCACGCAACGCACAUUCGUGGGGAACCUAGUGCUAAACCGUUCAUACACGACCUGCUUCUAGGUCGGGGUUUCAUAUGAAGCAGAGCAGCUCCCUCGCUGCGAUCUAUUGAAAAUCAGCCCUUGACCCAAGGGUUUGU